GACUUACUCCUCGAUUUGUCUAUAUUUACUGACUGUGCCACAGUUAUACCAAGAAAUGUUUACACAGAUGAUGAUAAGCAUAUGUAGAGAUGCAACGUUUUCACAGACCAGAAUAACCAGCUCCAGGCUGCAGUUCUCUACACAAAGAUAAAGUUUGUUGGGCAGACUCCUGACUGCGGUGACCUGAGCCCAGAGGAGCAGCCGGGGGCGAUGGGCAGAGCCGGGUGUGGACAAGCGGGUGGGUCCUGCACCUGGGUGGGGAAAGCAGCAGGCUCCAGGGUCAAGUUGAGGUUGUGCUAGCCCUGGCCUCCAGACCUCAGGCGGCCCACUCUGCCCUCGCCUGUUUCCUCUCUUGUAAAGUGGGGAGUAAGAGACCAUCACAAGCCAGGGAUGGGGUGGCACAAACUGUGAUCUCAGCCACUCUGGAGGCUGGGUCGGGGAGUGGAGGGGUCACUUGUGUCUCAGAGCUGGAGCUGUGGUGUGCAAGGCCCGCACCUGUAAAUGGCCACUGCACUCCGGCCUGGGCAACACUGAGACCCUGGCUCUGAAAAACAACAAAACUUAAAAGAUGAACACAGAUGAAAUAUGGGAGCCUGGUAUGUAGUAAGCACUCCACAGGUGUCAGCCGCCAGCCUUCAGUCCAGGACAGGUCAGGGGGAGGCCUGCAGUCUGCGACAGGCUGCCGGCUUCCAUCACUGCCUGGUGGAAAACAAGCCUGUCUUUGGGGCCCACCAGCUAACAAGUGAGCCCUUCACCCCAUCUGAAGGCAAAGCACCCAAAGGGGCAACCAUGGGCGACUAAAUAAAAAUCAAGACUCCUGGGACGCCUUCUGAGGACACAUUCUUAGUAAAGAGAUACGUGGAUGAGGACGUUGUGUGUAUUUCUGUGUAACAGGCCACCCCAAACCUCAGAGGGCGAAAACCUCUCUUCACUGCUCAUGACCCUGUGGGCCUGCAGCUUGAACCAGUUCAACUGGGACAGCUUGCCUCGGCUCCAUGGGGUGUCUGCUGGACCCACUUAUGGGCAGGGGCCCUCUGGCAGAUCCGGGCCACGUGUCACCCACCCACCGCAGGCUGGUCGGGCCUCCCUCCCAUGGUGGCUGGGCUCCAUCGGCAGCAAGAGAAAGCAAAUCCCCAUGGUGCUUCCCUCCAUCUCCCCAGGAGAAGCAGGUGAGAUGGCCAGGGCCUGAGUGGAUGUGAGGGACUGUGUAGGAGACGGGCACAGGAAGCAUGGUUCAUCAGGACGGGCACUCCAACAGUCUUCCACAGGCCUUCGCUGAGCUUGUUCUUUUUCUCCCUCCAGAGCAGCGGAGAGCAGAUGGCGGCCAAGGCCGGGACCCUCUGCUGCUCCCACGGGCCUCUCAGGCGGCUCUGCAGGACCAGCCAGCAGCCUCUGAUUCUCCCUUCCUAUUCCACGGCCUCAGAUGCCAUCCUUUCCACAGAGACAGUUUCUGUCGUGACACUCUCCCUGACUUGGAGGAAUGGCACUCCGAACACUCCUCUUGGUGCUGAUGUCAGGGACGAAAGCAGUUUCCAGUCGCCGGGGGCCAGGACACGGCAUUCCCAGCUGUUGUGGAGCAUGAAGCACCAGGAUGCCCAUUUGGGUGGCUGUUGAGAUCAGGCUCUUUGAGAAGGAAUCCUGUGGUCGACUGAGGAGGCCCAAAGAAAUUUCGAGGACAUCUCAGCCAUCCAUCCCCUGUUCACUGUGGAGGUCGAACACCAAGGUUUCUGGAGGGGGACCCUGGGUCUCCACAGAACUGCUGGCAACCAUCUACUUCCCGGCCUUCCGUGCCCGCCCCACCUCUGUUCUGUUGUUUACCGUCUCCUUUGUGGGAAUUAUGGAAUAAACGAUCAUUUUGGUGUCCUGGAAAAUAAACCUGAUGCUGGAGGGCUUGAGUGUAGGAAUCCCGCUGGGCUCCCUCUGUCUGCCCCAGGAGUUAGGCUUUGCAGAAGCAUGUGAGACAUCAACCACUAUGAAAUGUGGUCUACACAGCAUCAAAAAAUCCAUUUCACCACAUUUUCCCUUCAGUGCAGUUAAAUGGCAUGACCUUGUGACUGCCCCCACGAGAAGAAUUAAAAGUUACACCGGCCCUGCCAAAGCCUACAGGACACAGUGGCACAAAAGGAUUUCCAUGAUCUUAGGAUAUAGACCCAGACUGACUCGACAGAUUAAGUGGAUUUCAAACUGUGAUCUCAAGCCUUCUGGGAACUGCCAGAAAGGAGGGGAAGGUGCCGAGUGGCCCAGCUGCCCAGCCUGUUCACACACUGGGCUUUCCAAAAGGAGGGGAAGGCGCCAGCCUCACAGUGGCCCAGCUGCCCAGCCUCUUCACACACUGGGCUUUCAGUUGAAGAGAGUGUUCAAAGCUUACACAUGUAAAUACCACUGAUCUGUGAACCCCCUUCCUGUCAUGCCCAGGGACUGGCAGACUGUGGCUAGAAGGGUGGGACCAGAGGGGUGGGUCACGUGACCUGCGCACGGGUGUGCUGGCCUCCCUGGGCCUUGGUGGCCAGGACAGCCUCCCUUUCCCUUUCCAGCCACACAGGGCAAUCCGUGUGGAUUUCUGUCUCCCCAAUUACAGAGCGUGCUGCCAACCUGCUGUGUUGAGAUUGGCCUGGUCUUGGUCCUGGUGUCCUAGGGCUGAUGACUGACCACAGCCUUUGUGCUUUUGAAGCCCAUUUGACUAUAGUCCUUGUGUACAACUAAAAAUGUAGCUUU